GUCUCUUUCAGCCGCCUAAACUUCUUGCUUUCUCUGUCUCAAAUGGCGACUCUCACUCACCCGCACCAGCAAACUCAUCUAUUCUCCAAAUUCUACCUAAAACCCAAACCAAAAUUUACUACUUCACCUUCCAGAAUUCGAAUGUCCCUCCAAGAAAACGCCCCCUCCCUCGCCGUCGUGGGCGUCACAGGCGCAGUGGGUCAGGAAUUCCUUUCCGUCCUAUCCGACCGUGACUUCCCUUAUCGCUCUAUCAAAAUGCUUGCCUCCAAACGCUCUGCUGGGAAACAGCUGUCUUUCCAGGACAGGAACUACACGAUCGAGGAAUUGACAGCCGAGAGCUUCGAUGGGAUUGACAUUGCGCUGUUCAGUGCUGGAGGGUCUAUUAGUAAGCAGUUUGGGCCUGUGGCGGUGGAGAAGGGUGCGGUUGUGGUUGAUAAUAGUUCGGCUUUUAGGAUGAAUGAGGGGAUUCCACUGGUGAUUCCUGAGGUGAAUCCGGAGGCUAUGGAAGGGAUUAAAGUUGGAAUGGGGAAGGGGGCUUUGAUUGCGAACCCAAAUUGCUCUACUAUUAUCUGUUUGAUGGCUGCCACACCUUUGCAUAGACAUGCCAAGGUGCAACGCAUGGUUGUUAGUACUU
rnacentral:misc_RNA from 1 species